rnacentral:SRP_RNA from 8 species
CGUAUACUGCUUCAGGCUGGAACACGGAGCAGC